rnacentral:rRNA from 1 species
GACGAACGCUGGCGGCGUGCUUAACACAUGCAAGUCGAACGGAAAGGCCCUGCUUGCAGGGGACUCGAGUGGCGAACGGGGGAGUAACACGUGGGUGAUCUGCCCUGCACUUCGGGAUAAGCCUUGGAAACUGGGGCGAAUACCGGGUAGGAGCCAUUUUUAGUGUGAUGGUGGGAAAGUUUUUUCGGUGUAGGAUGGGCUCGCUGCCUAUCAGCUUGUUUGUGGGGGAAUGGCCUACCAAGGCGGCGACGGGUAGCCGGCCCGGGUGGGUGGACGGCCACCUUUGGAAUGGGAUAAGGGCCAGAACCCCACGGGGGGCCAGAGGGGGGGAUAUUGCAACAAGGGCGCAAGGCCGGUGGAGCGAAGCCGCGUGGGGGAUGACGGCCUUUGGGUUGUAAACCCCCUUCGCUAGGGAAGAAGCUUUUUGUGACGGUACCUAGAUAAGAAGCACCGGCUAACUACGUG